rnacentral:tRNA from 1 species
UUUUAUUUCUGCCAAUUAUAUUAUUUUCUAUAUAUUAUAUUAAUAUUCUCCCUACUAAAUAUAAA